CCUACGGGGUGCAGCAGUGGGGAAUAUUGGGCAAUGGGCGCAAGCCUGACCCAGCAACGCCGCGUGAAGGAAGAAGGCUUUCGGGUUGUAAACUUCUUUUGUCAGGGAAGAGUAGAAGACGGUACCUGACGAAUCAGCCACGGCUAACUACGUGCCAGCAGCCGCGGUAAUACGUAGGUGGCAAGCGUUGUCCGGAUUUACUGGGUGUAAAGGGCGUGUAGCCGGGUUGACAAGUCAGAUGUGAAAUCCUGCGGCUUAACCGCAGAACUGCAUUUGAAACUGUUGAUCUUGAGUACUGGAGAGGCAUACGGAAUUCCUAGUGUAGCGGUGAAAUGCGUAGAUAUUAGGAGGAACACCAGUGGCGAAGGCGGUCUGCUGGACAGCAACUGACGGUGAGGCGCGAAAGCGUGGGGAGCAAACAGGAUUAGAUACCCUUGUAGUC
rnacentral:rRNA from 1 species